rnacentral:tRNA from 3 species
GCCGGAGUGGCGGAAUUGGUAGACGCGGCGGAUUCAAAAUCCGCUUUUCGCAAGGAAGUGUGGGUUCGAGUCCCUCCUCCGGUACCA